GACGAACGCUGGCGGCGUGCCUAAUACAUGCAAGUAGAACGCUGAAGAGAGGAGCUUGCUCUUCUUGGAUGAGUUGCGAACGGGUGAGUAACGCGUAGGUAACCUGCCUGGUAGCGGGGGAUAACUAUUGGAAACGAUAGCUAAUACCGCAUAAAAUUGAUUAUUGCAUGAUAAUUAAUUGAAAGAUGCAAUUGCAUCACUACCAGAUGGACCUGCGUUGUAUUAGCUAGUUGGUGAGGUAACGGCUCACCAAGGCGACGAUACAUAGCCGACCUGAGAGGGUGAUCGGCCACACUGGGACUGAGACACGGCCCAGACUCCUACGGGAGGCAGCAGUAGGGAAUCUUCGGCAAUGGGGGGAACCCUGACCGAGCAACGCCGUGUGAGUGAAGAAGGUUUUCGGAUCGUAAAGCUCUGUUGUAAGAGAAGAACGGGUGUGAGAGUGGAAAGUUCACACUGUGACG
rnacentral:rRNA from 1 species